rnacentral:rRNA from 1 species
CUGUGUCUUAGGUAAAUCCGGGAUGCUAAGGCUGAGAACUGAUGACGAGUGUUCCUCGGAACAUGAAGUGCUUGAUGCCAUGCUUCCAAGAAAAGCCUCUAAGCUUCAGGUAAAAAGAGACCGUACUCCAAACCGACACAGGUGAUCAGGUAGAGAAUACCAAGGCGCUUGAGAGAACUCGGGUGAAGGAACUAGGCAAAAUGGCACCGUAACUUCGGGAGAAGGUGCACCGCUUUUGGUGAUGGGAUUUACUCCCUAAGCUGAGGGCGGUCGAAGAUACCAGGCCCCUGCAACUGUUUAUUAAAAACACAGCACUCUGCAAACACGUAAGUGGACGUAUAGGGUGUGACGCCUGCCCGGUGCCGGAAGGUUAAUUGAUGGGGUUAGCGCAAGCGAAGCUCUUGAUCGAAGCCCCGGUAAACGGCGGCCGUAACUAUAACGGUCCUAAGGUAGCGAAAUUCCUUGUCGGGUAAGUUCCGACCUGCACGAAUGGCGUAAUGAUGGGGGCGCUGUCUCCACCCGAGACUCAGUGAAAUUGAAAUCGCGGUUAAGAUGCCGUGUACCCGCGGCUAGACGGAAAGACCCCGUGAACCUUUACUAUAGCUUUGCACUGAACUUUGAACCUAUCUGUGGAGGAUAGGUGGGAGGCUUUGAAGUCGAGACGCUAGUUUCGAUGGAGCCGUCCUUGAAAUACCACCCUGGUAUGUUUGAGGUUCUAACGUCGGCCCCUUAUCGGGGUUACGGACAGUGUAUGGUGGGUAGUUUGACUGGGGCGGUCUCCUCCCAAAGAGUAACGGAGGAGCACGAAGGUGUGCUAAUCAUGGUCGGAAAUCAUGAGGUUAGUGUAAAGGCAAAAGCACGCUUGACUGCGAGACAGACAUGUCGAGCAGGUACGAAAGUAGGUCUUAGUGAUCCGGUGGUUCUGUAUGGAAGGGCCAUCGCUCAACGGAUAAAAGGUGCUCCGGGGAUAACAGGCUGAUACCGCCCAAGAGUUCACAUCGACGGCGGUGUUUGGCACCUCGAUGUCGGCUCAUCACAUCCUGGGGCUGAAGCCGGUCCCAAGGGUAUGGCUGUUCGCCAUUUAAAGUGGUACGCGAGCUGGGUUUAGAACGUCGUGAGACAGUUCGGUCCCUAUCUGCCGUGGGCGUUGGAGAUUUGAGAAGAGUUGUUCCUAGUACGAGAGGACCGGAAUGAACGAACCUCUGGUGUUCGGGUUGUCAUGCCAAUGGCAUUGCCCGGUAGCUACGUUCGGACGGGAUAACCGCUGAAAGCAUCUAAGCGGGAAGCCUCCUUCAAGAUGAGAUCUCCCUGGGACUUUAAGUCCCCUAAAGAGCCGUUGAAGACUACGACGUUGAUAGGUUGGGUGUGGAAGCGCAGCGAUGCGUUGAGCUAACCAAUACUAAUUGCUCGUGCGGCUUGACC